CGAACUCUAAGUCAGCCACGAAUAGGCUAUCCCAACUAACGGCGGGAAAGACUCCACGGAGGGUGUAAGACCCGUGUGGGCGCGUGUCAAAGCUGUGCGGGCUCGGCCUCUUUUCCCUGAGAGUCGCGUUGCUUGAGCAUGCAGCGCUAAGCAGGUCGUAAACUCGAUCUAAGGCUAAAUAUGUCCACAGAACCGAUAGCGAACAAGUACCGUGAGGGAAAGUUGAAAAGCACUCUGGAGAGAGAGUCAAAAGACCGUGAAACCGCUCAGAGUAUAAGCCCAUGGCAGCUUGGAAGGCAUAUCGCUAGCGGGGCAUCGGUCUUCCUUCUCGGAGGGAGCUGGUGUUACCUUGCUACUGUUGUGGCUCGUCAAGGUAGGGGGGUCAAGUCCACAUCCCGCCGUCGUGUGGGAGGUUCUUGGGCGCGUUGUGGUCUUUCGGUUGACUUCGGUCGGUCGUUGGGUUCUUCGUGCUUGGUUCCUUCUUUUUUUGCACGGACGUUCAGACUCAGAAGCAAGACGCGAUAACCAGCCCACCACGGCACGUUGUGAGGUCACCCACAGACUUAGCUUUCGAUUGUGAUCCUUGACGCCGAGCAAGCAGCCCAAUGCGUGUCGCUAAGUUUCUAACCAGGCUUUUUCCAAGGUGCCAGGAGUUGGGGAACGACACCCGCCCCACAGUUCAAGAGCGGCCGGAUACAAAGUACUGGUUCGAUCCUUCUUGCGCCGACCCGGCUUCUGGCCAAAAUUCCGGCGGGCAGGCCUUCCCGCAUGUGCCCCCGGAGGUCGAGUCACGGUAUGGACAAUUCCACUCCUCUUCAUCGAACCCGGAAAGGAUUGUGUAAAGUCCACCCCCUCGUUCACGUCCCGAAACACGGCCCAAGGAGUAUAGCAGUGUCAAGUCUAAGGGUCUCCCAAAAUCCCAAGGCAAAGUGAAAGCAACUAAGCCGCGGGUGAUCUAAGGAGAGAUCACGUACCUAGAGGCUUCCUCCUCCUCCUCCUUCUCCGGGGGCGGGGGGGAGAAUUUCUCCGGCUUUGGCAGA
rnacentral:rRNA from 1 species